GAUGAACGCUGGCGGCGUGCCUAAUACAUGCAAGUCGAGCGAAUGGAUUAAGAGCUUGCUCUUAUGAAGUUAGCGGCGGACGGGUGAGUAACACGUGGGUAACCUGCCCAUAAGACUGGGAUAACUCCGGGAAACCGGGGCUAAUACCGGAUAAUAUUUUGAACUGCAUGGUUCAAAAUUGAAAGGCGGCUUCGGCUGUCACUUAUGGAUGGAACCGCGUCGCAUUAGCUAGUUGGUGAGGUAACGGGUCACCAAGGCAACGAUGCGUAGCCGACCUGAGAGGGUGAUCGGCCACACUGGGACUGAGACACGGCCCAGACUCCUACGGGAGGCAGCAGUAGGGAAUCUUCCGCAAUGGACGAAAGUCUGACGGAGCAACGCCGCGUGAGUGAUGAAGGCUUUCGGGUCGUAAAACUCUGUUGUUAGGGAAGAACAAGUGCUAGUUGAAUAAGCUGGCACCUUGACGGUACCUAGCCAGAAAGCCACGGCUAACUACGUGCCAGCCGCCGCGGUAA
rnacentral:rRNA from 1 species